UACGUAGGGUGCGAGCGUUGUCCGGAAUUACUGGGCGUAAAGAGCUCGUAGGUGGUUGUCGCGUUGUUCGUGAAAACCGAGGCUUAACUCUCGGCGUGCGGCGAUACGGGCAGACUGGAGUACUGCAGGGGAGACUGGAAUUCCUGGUGUAGCGGUGGAAUGCGCAGAUAUCAGGAGGAACACCGGUGGCGAAGGCGGGUCUCUGGGCAGUAACUGACGCUGAGGAGCGAAAGCGUGGGGAGCGAACAGGA
rnacentral:rRNA from 1 species